UACGUAGGGGGCUAGCGUUGUCCGGAAUCAUUGGGCGUAAAGAGCGUGUAGGCGGCCCGGUAAGUCCGCUGUGAAAGUCGGGGCUCAACCCUCGAAUGCCGGUGGAUACUGUCGGGCUAGAGUCCGGAAGAGGAGAGUGGAAUUCCUGGUGUAGCGGUGAAAUGCGCAGAUAUCAGGAAGAACACCUAUGGCGAAGGCAGCUCUCUGGGACGGUACUGACACUGAGGAGCGAAAGCGUGGGGAGCGAACAGG
rnacentral:rRNA from 1 species